rnacentral:rRNA from 1 species
AGAGUUUGAUUAUGGCUCAGGAUGAACGCUGGCGGCGUGCUUAACACAUGCAAGUCGAACGGAGUUUUAAACGGAAGUUUUCGGAUGGAAGUUUAGAAACUUAGUGGCGGACGGGUGAGUAACGCGUGGGUAACCUGCCUCAUACAGGGGGAUAACAGUUAGAAAUGACUGCUAACACCGUAUAAUAUAGCGAAACCGCAUGAUUUUGCUAUCAAAUAUUUAUAGGUAUGAGAUGGGCCCGCGUCUGAUUAGCUAGUUGGUGGGGUAAAAGCCUACCAAGGCGACGAUCAGUAGCCGGCUUGAGAGAGUGACCGGCCACAUUGGGACUGAGACACGGCCCAAACUCCUACGGGAGGCAGCAGUGGGGAAUAUUGGACAAUGGGGGAAACCCUGAUCCAGCGAACCGCCGCGUGAGUGAAGAAGUAUUUCGGUAUGUAAAGCUCUAUCAGCAGGGAAGAUAAUGACAGUACCUGACUAAGAAGCCCCGGCUAACUACGUGCCAGCCGCUGC